rnacentral:rRNA from 1 species
GCGAGAAAACUUUGCAAUGUGCGAAAGCACGACAAGGUUAAUCCGAGUGGUUUCUGCUAAAGAAACCUUUUGUCAGUCCUAGAAACACUAACGAAUAAGGGGUGGGCAAGUUCUGGUGUCAGCCGCCGCGGUAAAACCAGCACCUCAAGUGGUCAGGAUGAUUAUUGGGCCUAAAGCAUCCGUAGCUCGUUUUGUAAGUUUUCGGUUAAAUCCAUACGCUUAACGUAUGGGCUGCCGGGAAUACUGCAUAACUAGGAAGUGGGAGAGGUAGACGGUACUCGGUAGGAAGGGGUAAAAUCCUUUGAUCUAUUGAUGACCACCUGUGGCGAAGGCGGUCUACCAGAACACGUUCGACGGUGAGGGAUGAAAGCUGGGGGAGCAAACGGGAUUAGAUACCCUUGUAGUCCCUGAGCGGGCUGGCAAGGCGCAU